CGUUCCCGGAGGCCACAGGGAUUUUUGUUUUGUUUUGUUUUUCAGCUCAAGCCUGGCAUGCAGGAGAAUUCUCGCUUUUCUGUUUUAGUCUGCUUUCGGGUCUGUGUCUCCCGCUGUCAGUAUCCGUGUUUGUUUUUCGCCUGAGUUGUAUGGGAGCCAAUGAUCUGUGUCUGGUUUUGACCAGCCCUCCCCACCCAGUUUGGUUUAUUUAGUUUUUUUCCAAGGUGUUUUAGUCCGGUAGGGCAUUGGAAAUCCACCCUUGGGGUGGAUGAAUCACUGGAUUCCAGGGGGGGGCAGAUCAUUGUUUGAUGUUUUAUAUUUGUUUUGUCAGAUUUAGUUAGUCCAAAGUUCAUGUCCCCAUCCCCAGAGGCUAGUGAGUUGAGAGGGUAUUUUGUGUUUGUCUUGUCUCCUGAUUGUGUCUUGGCUCUUGGAGGAGUCCAGUUUGAAGUCCCAUCGUACUCGCUCUUCGGUGGAGACCAGUUUAAAGUUUUGCAGUUAUCCUGGUACCUUGUCUUGUGUUUCUCCAUCGAACUGAGCCUGCCUGUCUGCAUCUGUGUGUGUCUGUAUGAGCUCGCUGCACUACUCUUGGAACUCUGAACCCGCCUUCAGGCUCUGUGGAUUCCUGAAACCCUGAAUAUGUCUGUUCUUGUGCGGAUCAGAAUCCCUGAUUGGGCUGCGGACUCCUGGAUUCAAGAACUGUUCCUGUCUGAUCUGUUUCCCUGACCUGCUCAUUGGGGUCCCUGCAUCGGAGACACUCUCUGGGAGGCUCUGCACCGCUGCUCGUUUGGCAGUCCAUCGGUCAGAUCCUGCUUUCAUGGACUGAACUAUUCAACCAGGAACUCAGAGCGGAGCGGACGGGAGCCACAGCGGAGGCUGUAUGCUUUGCUUUGCGCAGGCGGUCUGGAUUGCAGUGGAGCCCUGACGGAGUAUUUGGGAUUUUGGGGAUGACGCAGUUUGCCACUGAAUGAGCUCUGCAGUAGUUCAGCAACAGCUUCAUG